CCCUUAGAUGUUCUGGGCCGCACGCGCGCUACACUGAUGCAUGCAACGAGUUCUAUCCUUGGCCGGAAGGCCUGGGUAAUCUGUGAACGUGCAUCGUGAUAGGGAUAGAUUAUUGCAAUUAUUAAUCUUGAACGAGGAAUUCCUAGUAAACGCAAGUCAUCAGCUUGCAUUGAUUACGUCCCUGCCCUUUGUACACACCGCCCGUCGCUCCUACCGAUUGGGUGCUCCGGUGAAUUGUUUGGACUGCUGUCAGUCUUUUUGGCUGUCGGCGAGAAGCUCUGUGAACCUUAGCACCUAGAGGAAGGAGAAGUCGUAACA
rnacentral:rRNA from 1 species